rnacentral:rRNA from 1 species
CUGCCGCGUGCAGGAUGACGGUCCUAUGGAUUGUAAACUGCUUUUGUACAGGAAGAAACCCUUUCACGUGUGGAAGAUUGACGGUACUGUAAGAAUAAGGAUCGGCUAACUCCGUGCCAGCAGCCGCGGUAAUACGGAGGAUCCAAGCGUUAUCCGGAAUCAUUGGGUUUAAAGGGUCCGUAGGCGGUCAGGUAAGUCAGUGGUGAAAGCCCAUCGCUCAACGGUGGAACGGCCAUUGAUACUGUCUGACUUGAAUUAUUAGGAAGUAACUAGAAUAUGUAGUGUAGCGGUGAAAUGCUUAGAGAUUACAUGGAAUACCAAUUGCGAAGGCAGGUUACUACUAAUGGAUUGACGCUGAUGGACGAAAGCGUGGGUAGCGAACAGGAUUAGAUACCCUGGUAGUCCACGCCGUAAACGAUGGAUACUAGCUGUUGGGAGCAAUCUCAGUGGCUAAGCGAAAGUGAUAAGUAUCCCACCUGGGGAGUACGUUCGCAAGAAUG